rnacentral:rRNA from 1 species
UUAAUAGUACGUGAAACUGCUUAGAGGUUAAGCCCAGAUGAACCUGAAUAUCCAUAUAGAGAAUUCAUCAUUAAUAUAUUAAUUAUUAUUAAUAUAAUGGUGUGCAUUUUCUCUAUAUAAUUGGACAUUGUAAUCUAUUAAUAUAUAUAAUUUAUCAUAAGAUCAUAAGCAUAUGUUUAUUUUUAUUAAUUUAGCUUUUAGCUAUUUUAUAAAAUAAUUGCUAUUGAUUUGAUAAAGUGUUGAUAGAUUUAAUCAUAUGUAUAAUGCUUAAAUUCAUUUUAUGAAUUUUAUAAUAUAGCAAUAUAUUAUAAGCAUUUAUACGAUUUACAAUGCGAAAGAUUCAGGAUACCUUCGGGACCCGUCUUGAAACACGGACCAAGGAGUCUAACAUAUGUGCAAGUUAUUGGGAUUUUAAUUAAAACCCAAAAGCAAAAUUAACAUAACUAUAUUUUAAUGGGAUUAAUUUUAUAUUCAUUAUGAAUUUAUUAUUCAAUCCCAGGGCGUUCUAUACAGUUAUGUAUAAUAGCAUUUAUGUUAUUUAUACCUCUAACUAGAGCGUACCUUGAGCAUAUAUGCUGUGACCCGAAAGAUGGUGAACUAUACUUGAUCAGGUUGAAGUCAGGGGAAACCCUGAUGGAAGACCGAAACAGUUCUGACGUGCAAAUCGAUUGUCAGAAUUGAGUAUAGGGGCGAAAGACCAAUCGAACCAUCUU